rnacentral:rRNA from 1 species
AGAGUUUGAUCCUGGCUCAGAUUGAACGCUGGCGGAAUGCUUUACACAUGCAAGUCGAACGGGGCUUGGGGGCUUGCUCCCGAGUUUAGUGGCGAACGGGUGAGUAAUGCGUCGGAACGUACCGAGUAAUGGGGGAUAACCCGGCGAAAGUCGGAUUAAUACCGCAUACGCCCUGAGGGGGAAAGCAGGGGAUCGCAAGACCUUGCGUUAUUCGAGCGGCCGACGUCUGAUUAGCUAGUUGGUGGGGUAAUGGCUCACCAAGGCGACGAUCAGUAGCGGGUCUGAGAGGAUGAUCCGCCACACUGGAACUGAGACACGGUCCAGACUCCUACGGGAGGCAGCAGUGGGGAAUUUUGGACAAUGGGGGCAACCCUGAUCCAGCCAUUCCGCGUGAGUGAAGAAGGCCUUCGGGUUGUAAAGCUCUUUCAGCAGGAACGAAACGGUAGUCUCUAACAUAGGCUGCUAAUGACGGUACCUGCAGAAGAAGCACCGGCUAACUACGUGCCAGCAGCCGCGGUAAUACGUAGGGUGCGAGCGUUAAUCGGAAUUACUGGGCGUAAAGCGUGCGCAGGCGGAUUGUUAAGCAAGACGUGAAAUCCCCGGGCUUAACCUGGGAAUGGCGUUUUGAACUGGCAGUCUAGAGUGUGUCAGAGGGGGGUAGAAUUCCACGUGUAGCAGUGAAAUGCGUAGAGAUGUGGAGGAAUACCGAUGGCGAAGGCAGCCCCCUGGGAUAACACUGACGCUCAUGUACGAAAGCGUGGGUAGCAAACAGGAUUAGAUACCCUGGUAGUCCACGCCCUAAACGAUGUCAACUGGUUGUUGGGGGAGUGAAAUCCCUUAGUAACGAAGCUAACGCGUGAAGUUGACCGCCUGGGGAGUACGGUCGCAAGAUUAAAACUCAAAGGAAUUGACGGGGACCCGCACAAGCGGUGGAUGAUGUGGAUUAAUUCGAUGCAACGCGAAAAACCUUACCUACCCUUGACAUGUCCAGAAUCCUGCAGAGAUGCGGGAGUGCCCGAAAGGGAAUUGGAACACAGGUGCUGCAUGGCUGUCGUCAGCUCGUGUCGUGAGAUGUUGGGUUAAGUCCCGCAACGAGCGCAACCCUUAUCAUUAGUUGCUACGCAAGGGCACUCUAAUGAGACUGCCGGUGACAAACCGGAGGAAGGUGGGGAUGACGUCAAGUCCUCAUGGCCCUUAUGGGUAGGGCUUCACACGUCAUACAAUGGUCGGUACAGAGGGUUGCCAAGCCGCGAGGUGGAGCCAAUCCCAGAAAGCCGAUCGUAGUCCGGAUUGUUCUCUGCAACUCGAGAGCAUGAAGUCGGAAUCGCUAGUAAUCGCGGAUCAGCAUGUCGCGGUGAAUACGUUCCCGGGUCUUGUACACACCGCCCGUCACACCAUGGGAGUGGAAUCUGGCAGAAGUAGGUAGCCUAACCGCAAGGGGGGCGCUUACCACGCUGGGUUUCAUGACUGGGGUGAAGUCGUAACAAGGUAGCCGUAGGGGAACCUGCGGCUGGAUCACCUCCUU